rnacentral:rRNA from 1 species
AGGGCACACGGUGGAUGCCUAGGCAUACAGAGGCGAAGAAGGACGUGUAAAGCUGCGAUAAGCUGCGGGGAGCUGCAUAAGAGCAAUGAUCCGUGGAUUUCCGAAUGGGGCAACCCAUCCGCCAAUUGGCGGAUACUCCUUUCGAGGAGGGCAUACGGGGGGAACUGAAACAUCUAAGUACCCCCAGGAGAAGAAAACAAUCAAGUGAUUUCCCAAGUAGCGGCGAGCGAACGGGAAGCAGCCCAAACCGGCUUCCUACGGGGAGUCGGGGUAGUAGGACCUGCGUAAUCGAAGCGAGCUUAAGUCGAAACUGCCUGGAAAGCAGUCCCACAGAAGGUGAAAGGCCUGUAGGCGUACGGCGAGCGGAGAGGCGGGUAUCCUGAGUAGCGCGAGGCCGGUGAAACCUUGCGUGAACCAGCCGGCACCAUCCGGUAAGGCUAAAUACAUCUGUAUGACCGAUAGUGAACCAGUACCGUGAGGGAAAGGUGAAAAGAACGCCGAGAAGGCGAGUGAAAUAGUACCUGAAACCGUGUGCUUACAAGCGGUCGGAGCCUCUCUUUGAGGGGUGACGGCGUGCCUUUUGUAUAAUGAGCCUACGAGUUGCUCCUGUUGUGCGAGGUUAAGCCCCUAAGGGGUGGAGCCGUAGCGAAAGCGAGUCUGAAACGGGCGAGCAGUACAGCGGGGCAGACGCGAAACCAAGUGAGCUAUCCAUGGUCAGGGUGAAGUGGGGGUAAAACCCCAUGGAGGCCCGAACCGCCAGACGUUGAAAAGUCUUCGGAUGAACUGUGGAUAGGGGUGAAAGGCCAAUCAAACUUGGAAAUAGCUCGUACUCCCUGAAAUAUAUUUAGGUAUAGCGUCUGGUUUUGUCUCUCCGGAGGUAGAGCACUGAUUAGGCUAGGGCCCUUCACCGGGUACCAACCCUAGACAAACUCCGAAUACCGGCAGAGAGCCACCAGGCAGUCAGUGGCGGGGUGAUAACGUCCCGUCGCGAGAGGGAAACAACCCAGACCACCAGCUAAGGCCCCCAAAUGUAUGUUAAGUUGAACAAAGAAAGUUGGGUUGCCCAGACAACUAGGAGGUUGGCUUAGAAGCAGCCAUUCCUUUAAAGAGUGCGUAAUAGCUCACUAGUUAAGCGGCCCGGCGUCGAUAAUACACGGGCAUUAAACAUACUGCCGAAGCUGUGGACUCUAAUAGAGUGGUAAGGGAGCAUUCCAGGGGCGCAGAAGCCGGAUCGUGAGAUCCGGUGGAGCCCCUGGAAGCGAAACUGUAGGCAUGAGUAACGAUAAGAGGAGUGAGAAACUCCUCCACCAAAAACCCAAGGGUUCCUGAUCAACGCUAAUCGGAUCAGGGUUAGUCGAGACCUAAGGUGUAGCCGAGAGGCGAAGCCGAUGGCAAACCGGUUAAAUAUUCCGGUACCGAUUGUAGCGCCAGGCUAAGGCGUGACGCAGAAGUGACACUCCCGCGUGCUGACGAAUGCACGUUAAAGGGCGUAGGCCGGGGGGCAGGCAAAUCCGCCUCCCAUUAAGGCUGAACCCCGACAGUACUGUGAGCCUGCGGGCAAGCAGAUAGUGGAGGUAAUCCCGCUGCCGAGAAAAGCGUCGUAGUUUGUUACAAUCGCUCGUACCCCAAACCGACACAGGUGGGUGAGGAGAGUAUCCUAAGGUGCUCGAGUAAUUCAUGGCUAAGGAACUAGGCAAAUUCGAUCCGUAACUUCGGGAGAAGGAUCCCCCCUGGUCCGCCUUAUGGCGGAUUGGGGGGCGCAGUGAAAAGGCCCAAGCGACUGUUUACCAAAAACACAUGUCUCUGCCAAGCCGCAAGGCGAUGUAUAGGGACUGACACCUGCCCGGUGCUGGAAGGUUAAAGAAGGGGGUUAGCUUCGGCGAAGCCCUUGACUGAAGCCCCAGUAAACGGCGGCCGUAACUAUAACGGUCCUAAGGUAGCGAAAUUCCUUGUCGGGUAAGUUCCGACCUGCACGAAUGGUGUAACGACUUGGGCACUGUCUCAGCCAUGAGCUCGGUGAAAUUGUGGUAUCGGUGAUGACGCCGAUUACCCGCAGCGGGACGAAAAGACCCCGUGAACCUUUACUACAACUUUACAUUGGCUUUACCGGUUACAUGUGUAGCAUAGGCGGGAGACACUGAACCCCCUUCGCCAGGAGGGGGGGAGUCGCCCAGUGAAAUACCGCCCUUGUAACAGGUGAAUUCUAACCCUGCAGAGCGGGGAACAGUGUAUGGUGGGUAGUUUGACUGGGGCGGUCGCCUCCUAAAGAGUAACGGAGGCUCCCAAAGGUACCCUCAGCACGGUUGGCAAUCGUGCGUAGCGUGUAAAAGCAUAAGGGUGCUUGACUGCAAGACAUACAGGUCGAGCAGGAACGAAAGUUGGGUUUAGUGAUCCGGUGGCACCGCAUGGAAGGGCCAUCGCUCAAAGGAUAAAAGGUACUCCGGGGAUAACAGGCUUAUCUCCCCCAAGAGUUCAUAUCGACGGGGAGGUUUGGCACCUCGAUGUCGGCUCAUCGCAUCCUGGGGCUGGAGAAGGUCCCAAGGGUAUGGCUGUUCGCCAUUUAAAGCGGUACGCGAGCUGGGUUCAGAACGUCGUGAGACAGUUCGGUCUCUAUCUGCUGUGGGCGUAGGAAUAUUGCGGAGAGCUGCUCCUAGUACGAGAGGACCGGAGUGGACGCACCGCUAGUGUACCUGUUGUGUGGUCGCAUGCAUCGCAGGGUAGCUAUGUGCGGAAGUGAUAAGCCGCUGAAUGCAUCUAAGCGCGAAGCACGCUCCAAGAUAAGUAUUCCCUAAGAGCCUCCUGGAAGACGACCAGGUAGAUAGGCGACAGGUGUACGCACAGUAAUGUGUUUAGCCGAGUCGUACUAAUUAGGCCACAGGCUUUAUU